GAUGAACGCUAGCUACAGGCUUAACACAUGCAAGUCGAGGGGAAACGAUGAGAGAGCUUGCUCUCUUAGGCGUCGACCGGCGCACGGGUGAGUAACGCGUAUCCAACCUACCCAUUACAGGGGGAUAACCUUGCGAAAGUAAGACUAAUACCCCAUGGCAUUUUAUGGUGGCAUCAUUAUAGGAUUAAAGAUUUAUUGGUAAUGGAUGGGGAUGCGUCUGAUUAGCUUGUUGGCGGGGUAACGGCCCACCAAGGCAACGAUCAGUAGGGGUUCUGAGAGGAAGGUCCCCCACAUUGGAACUGAGACCCGGUCCAAACUCCUACGGGAGGCAGCAGUGAGGAAUAGUGGUCAAUGGGCGAGAGCUUGAACCAGCCAAGUAGCGUGCAGGAUGACGGCCCUAUGGGUUGUAAACUGCUUUUAUAGGGGAAUAAAGUGAGCUACGUGUAGUUUAUUGAAUGUACCCUAUGAAUAAGAACCGGCUAAUUCCGUG
rnacentral:rRNA from 1 species